GACGAACGCUGGCGGCGUGCUUAACACAUGCAAGUCGGACGAGUGGCGGACGGGUGAGUAACAUAUCGGAACGUACCGAGUAGUGGGGGAUAACUACUCGAAAGAUUAGCUAAUACCGCAUAUUAUUCGAGCGGCCGAUAUGUGAUUAGCUGGUUGGUGGGGUAAAGGCCUACCAAGGCGACGAUCAGUAGCGGGUCUGAGAGGAUGACCAGACACACUGGAACUGAGAAACGGCCCAGCCUCCUCCGGGAGGCAGCAGUGGGGAAUUUUGCACAAUGGGCGCAAGCCUUAUCCAGCCAUGCCGCGUGUAUGAAGAAGGCCUUCGGGUUGUAAAGUACUUUUGUCGGGGAAGCGGUACCUGAAGAAUAAGCACCGGCUAACUCCGUGCCAGCCGCCGCGGUAAUAC
rnacentral:rRNA from 1 species